AUACGUAGGGAGCAAACGUUUUCCGGAUUUAUUGGGCGUAAAGGGCUCGUAGGCGGUUCAACAAGUCGGUCGUGAAAGCCCGGGGCUCAACCCCGGGAGGCCGGUCGAAACUGUUGUGACUAGAGUUCGGUAGAGGUGAGUGGAAUUCUCGGUGUAGCGGUGGAAUGCGCAGAUAUCGAGAGGAACACCAUUAGCGAAGGCGGCUCACUGGGCCGAUACUGACGCUGAGGAGCGAAAGCGUGGGGAGCAAACAGGAUUAGAAACCCCUGUAGUCC
rnacentral:rRNA from 1 species